AAACAAGAUAACCACCAUUGCAGACAAUGCCUUUAAUGGAUUGCCAAAUUUACAGACACUAUGGCUACACACCAACAAGAUAACCACCAUUCCAGACAACGCCUUUAAUGGGAUGCCAAAUUUAAAAGAACUGAUUCUCAUUUUUUUCUUCUCAGCCAAUCUGCUUUCAAGACAAAUUUCCUCUGCAACUGACCAAUAUAAACAAACAAAAGAAAGAUUUGUGAACUUAUUCUUGUUAUCUUUCUUGAUGAAUACUAUUUGUUUCAUAGUCCAAUACCAAUUCUUGAUAAUGAUAUCCUCUGCAACUGACCACGUGUUUUACUUUUGUAUUUACAACUGUGUGUUUGCAAAACAUCCUAGUGUCACCUAUUUCUUGCACAUCAUAUUUUUCAGCUACAUGUAGUACCCUGAUACACU